rnacentral:rRNA from 1 species
AUGAAUCUCCUCGAUUGGAACUAUCAGGGAUUGGGGUUGGACCCGACAGUUGGAGAACUAAGGGACCUGAUUAGGUCAUACAACCCAGCGGUGGUGUUCCUGAGCGAGACUAAGAAGAAGGCGCGAGCUAUGGAAAAAGUUAAAUGGAGCUUGGGGUUCUGUCAUGGAAUUGCUGUGGACUGUGAGGGUAGUAGUGGUGGAUUAGCUCUACAUUGGAGGGGUCAUAUUUCGGUCACAAUUAGACUGUGGUGCCAGUACUAUAUUGAUGUGGAAAUCACCUCAAAGGUAAGAACCAUAAGAUUCACUGGAAUCUACGGAGAACCUCGAACGGAGCAUAGACGGAAACAUGGGAUGCACUUCGUUAUUUGA